rnacentral:rRNA from 1 species
GAUGAACGCUGGCGGCGUGCCUAAUACAUGCAAGUCGAGCGAACAGAUAAGGAGCUUGCUCCUUUGACGUUAGCGGCGGACGGGUGAGUAACACGUGGGUAACCUACCUAUAAGACUGGAAUAACUCCGGGAAACCGGGGCUAAUGCCGGAUAACAUUUAGAACCGCAUGGUUCUAAAGUGAAAGAUGGUUUUGCUAUCACUUAUAGAUGGACCCGCGCCGUAUUAGCUAGUUGGUAAGGUAACGGCUUACCAAGGCAACGAUACGUAGCCGACCUGAGAGGGUGAUCGGCCACACUGGAACUGAGACACGGUCCAGACUCCUACGGGAGGCAGCAGUAGGGAAUCUUUCGCAAUGGGCGAAAGCCUGACGGAGCAACGCCGCGUGAGUGAUGAAGGUCUUCGGAUCGUAAAACUCUGUUAUUAGGGAAGAACAAAUGUGUAAGUAACUGUGCACGUCUUGACGGUACCUAAUCAGAAAGCCACGGCUAACUACGUG